rnacentral:lncRNA from 13 species
ACCGCGCUAUCAACUGCGGCAAAGGCGCUCAGCAGGAGCUGCUCCGCUUCAACGCGGGAGGCGAGGAAAUUAUCCGGGCGGGGAAGUGAAUGGAGAGCGCGGCCUGGCUGCGACCCUCACAGGCUCAUCCCACCACCUCAGAGAGAUGUGUCCCCAAGCAUCAGGGAUUUCUGCUGCUUGAAACCAGGAUCCACCCAUGGUCUGCACCUUCCCAUGGCAGGGGGGUCUUGGAAUCUGGAAAAUCCAUGGCAUCCCCACCUUCCAGCCUGUGCCAAGGCACUGCAGCAGGAUGGGCACCAGCUGUGCUGAUGUCUCCUUCUUAGCAAUAAAAAGAAAAAAAAAAGGAUUUGGAUUGAUUAAAAUUUAAGGAAAGAAACGCAGGCUGAUUUCCCACCCAAAAUGAGAACUUGGGCAGGAAAGCGGGAGGUGAGGAAUCCAAACACACACAAAGAACAAAACCAUCAGGAGAGAGAACAAGACUGAGUGGGAAACAAAGCAAGAGGGAAAAAAAGAAGAGAGAUAAAACAGGAAAGAACGAGAAAGAGUGAAAAAAAAUCUGAAGUGGAAAUAAGCAAUCAAAAGGAAUAACAAAGGAAAAGGAGCAAAAAAAGGAAAACACACAGAGCGAGAGGGGACAGGGACGGAGCAAACUCCUGCAGGGAACAAAGAGGGGACUCGAGGCAGCCCUAGACACAAAACUGAGACAAGACAGCACUGAAGACAAAGGGAAAGCGGGACAAAAAUAGCACCGAAGUGGAAACAUGAAGGGAUUGAAGGUCCGGGGAAGCUGACUCUGGUCAAGGGGCAAAGCUGAGCACGGGGUGACAGCGGCGCAGCCACGGCUCCUGCGCUGCCCCUGCACUCCCAGCACAGCCUGGGGUGGGGAGGGCACGGGAGGGGGCAGAGGGAGCCGGGGAGGACAGAGGGAGCCGGGGAGGGCAGAGGGAGCCGGGGAGGGCAGAGGGAGCCGGGGAGGACAGAGCCCGGCUGGAGCUGUCCCAUCCCUUCCCAGGCUGCCGGAGAGGAGACAGCUCUGCCCAAGAGACCCCUCCGAGGGGGAGCAUCCUCAGAGGCUCCGAGCUGCUCCAAGAAAUGGAGCCCUCCUUUCCACAGCGAUCCCUCCUUUCCACAGCGAUCCCUCCUUUCCACA